UACCAGCACCCCGAGUGGUCGGGACGUUUAUUGGGCCUAAAGCAUCCGUAGCCGGUUCUACAAGUCUUCCGUUAAAUCCACCUGCUUAACAGAUGGGCUGCGGAGGAUACUAUAGAGCUAGGAGGCGGGAGAGGCAAGCGGUACUCGAUGGGUAGGGGUAAAAUCCGUUGAUCCAUUGAAGACCACCAGUGGCGAAGGCGACUCGCUGGACAAGUAUUGACGCUGAGGUGCGAAAGCGUGGGGAGCAAACAGG
rnacentral:rRNA from 1 species